rnacentral:rRNA from 1 species
UACAGAGGGUGCGAGCGUUUAAUCGGAAUUACUGGGCGUAAAGCGUGCGUAGACGGUUAUGUAAGUCAGGUGUGAAAGCCCCGGGCUCAACCUGGGAAUUGCAUUUGAGACUGCAUAGCUAGGGUGCGGAAGAGGGAAGCGGAAUUUCCGGUGUAGCGGUGAAAUGCGUAGAUAUCGGAAGGAACAUCAGUGGCGAAAGCGGCUUCCUGGUCCAGCACCGACGUCAGGCACGAAAGCGUGGGGAGCAAACAGG